AUCCAGCUGAUGAGCUUUAAAUAGGACGAAACGCGCGUCCUGGAU
rnacentral:hammerhead_ribozyme from 1 species